AACGGCCAUACCAUGCUGAAUAUAACGGUUCUCGUUAGAGUCAAGCAUCAUUGGGCGCGGUCAGUACUUGGGUGGGUGACCACCUCAGAACACCGCGUGCCGUU